rnacentral:rRNA from 1 species
UAGGGAAUCUUCGGCAAUGGACGAAAGUCUGACCGAGCAACGCCGCGGGAGUGAAGAAGGUUUUCGGAUCGUAAAACUCUGUUGUUAGAGAAGAACAAGGACGUUAGUAACUGAACGUCCCCUGACGGUAUCUAACCAGAAAGCCACGGCUAACUACGUGCCAGCAGCCGCGGUAAUACGUAGGUGGCAAGCGUUGUCCGGAUUUAUUGGGCGUAAAGCGAGCGCAGGCGGUUUCUUAAGUCUGAUGGGAAAGCCCCCGGCUCAACCGGGGAGGGUCAUUGGAAACUGGGAGACUUGAGUGCAGAAGAGGGGAGUGGAAUUCCAUGUGUAGCGGUGAAAUGCAUAUAUAUAUGGAGGAACACCAGUGGCGAAGGCGGCUCUCUGGUCUGUAACUGACGCUGGGGCUCGAAAGCGUGGGGAGCAAACAGG